GACGAACGCUGGCGGCGUGCUUAACACAUGCCAGUCGAACGGAAAGGCCCUGCUUUUGUGGGGUGCUCGAGUGGCGAACGGGUGAGUAACACGUGAGUAACCUGCCCUUGACUUGGGGAUAACUUCAGGCAACUGGUGCUAAUACCGGAUAGGAGCUCCUGAUGCAUGGUGGGGGUUGGAAAGUUUCGGCGGUUGGGGAUGGACUCGGGGCUUAUGAGCUUGUUGGUGGGGUAGUGGCUUACCAAGGCUUUGACGGGUAGUCGGCCUGGGAGGGUGACCGGCGACAUUGGGACUGAGAUACGGCCCAGACUCCUACGGGAGGCAGCAGGGGGGAAUAUGGCACAAUGGGGGGAAGCCUGAUGCAGCAACGCCGCGUGCGGGAUGACGGCCUUCGGGUUGUAAACCGCUUUCGCCUGUGACGAAGCGUGAGUGACGGUAAUGGGUAAAGAAGCACCGGCUAACUACGUG
rnacentral:rRNA from 1 species